GAAAACCCAGGGCUGUGAAGCAGUUCUUCACUCCCGCUCUGGACACUGGGUGAGGAGUGGUGAGAGUUGACCCCUCCAAGCAUCACGUUGGCUGGAGCUCUGAAGCACUGCUUCUACCUGCCUCGCGUGCCUGAGAGGCCAAGCCUGGAUCAGCCCCAGAAACCCCCAGAGGGCAGGGGCCGUGCACUUGAUCAAGGCUGCCGACAGUGACUGGAUUCAUUCCGGGUUCAGCUCCUCAGCGGGAACUCCUCACGGGAUAGCUUCCUGUUUCCUGAGAGUCG
rnacentral:lncRNA from 1 species